rnacentral:rRNA from 1 species
CAGUCGCCGCGGUAAUACGUAGGUGGCAAGCGUUGUCCGGAAUUAUUGGGCGUAAAGGGCUCGCAGGCGUUUCUUAAGUCUGAUGUGAAAGCCCCCGGCUCAACCGGGGAGGGUCAUUGGAAACUGGGAAACUUGAGUGCAGAAGAGGAGAGUGGAAUUCCACGUGUAGCGGUGAAAUGCGUAGAGAUGUGGAGGAACACCAGUGGCGAAGGCGACUCUCUGGUCUGUAACUGACGCUGAGGAGCGAAAGCGUGGGGAGCGAACAGGAUUAGAUACCCGUGUAGUCCCUGUCUCUUAUACA